rnacentral:lncRNA from 1 species
CAACACUGGGGCCAGAGCUGGGGGCCGCCAGGGGCCGGAGCUGGGGGACGUCAGGGGCCGCCAGGGGCCGUCAGGGGCCAGGGGCCUCCAGGGGCCGCCAGGGGCCGGAGCUGGGGGACAUCAGGGGCCGCCAGGGGCCGUCAGGGGCCUCCAGGGGCCGCCAGAGGCUGCCAGGGGACGUCAGGGGCCGGAGCUGGGGGACGUCAGGGGCCGGAGCUGGGGGACGUCAGGGGCCGGAGCUGGGGGACGUCAGGGGCCUCCAGGGGCCGCCAGAGGCUGCCAGGGGACGUCAGGGGCCGGAGCUGGGGGCCGUCAGGGGCCAGGGCUGGGGGCCGUCAGGGGCCGCCGGGGGCCGUCAGGGGCCAGGGGCCUCCAGGGGCCGUCAGGGGCCUCCAGGGGCCGUCAGGGGCCAGGGGCCUCCAGGGGCCGUCAGGGGCCUCCAGGGGCCGCCAGAGGCUGUUAGGGGCCGCCAGGGGCCGGAGCUGGGGGCCGCCAGGGGCCGUCAGGGGCCAGGGGCCUCCAGGGGACGUCAGGGGCCGCCAGGGGCCGUCAGGGGCCAGGGGCCUCCAGGGGCCGUCAGGGGCCUCCAGGGGCCGCCAAAGGCUGCCAGGGGACGUCAGGGGCCGGAGCUGGGGGCCGUCAGGGGCCGCCGGGGGCCGUCAGGGGCCAGGGGCCUCCAGGGGCCGUCAGGGGCCUCCAGGGGCCGCCAGAGGCUGUCAGGGGCCAGGGGCCUCCAGGGGCCGUCAGGGGCCAGGGGCCUCCAGGGGCCGCCAGGGGCCGGAGCUGGGGGACAUCAGGGGCCGCCAGGGGCCGUCAGGGGCCUCCAGGGGCCGCCAGAGGCUGCCAGGGGACGUCAGGGGCCGGAGCUGGGGGACGUCAGGGGCCGGAGCUGGGGGACGUCAGGGGCCGGAGCUGGGGGACGUCAGGGGCCUCCAGGGGCCGCCAGAGGCUGCCAGGGGACGUCAGGGGCCGGAGCUGGGGGCCGUCAGGGGCCAGGGCUGGGGGCCGUCAGGGGCCGCCGGGGGCCGUCAGGGGCCAGGGGCCUCCAGGGGCCGUCAGGGGCCUCCAGGGGCCGUCAGGGGCCAGGGGCCUCCAGGGGCCGUCAGGGGCCUCCAGGGGCCGCCAGAGGCUGUUAGGGGCCGCCAGGGGCCGGAGCUGGGGGCCGCCAGGGGCCGUCAGGGGCCAGGGGCCUCCAGGGGACGUCAGGGGCCGCCAGGGGCCGUCAGGGGCCAGGGGCCUCCAGGGGCCGUCAGGGGCCUCCAGGGGCCGCCAAAGGCUGCCAGGGGACGUCAGGGGCCGGAGCUGGGGGCCGUCAGGGGCCGCCGGGGGCCGUCAGGGGCCAGGGGCCUCCAGGGGCCGUCAGGGGCCUCCAGGGGCCGCCAGAGGCUGUCAGGGGCCAGGGGCCUCCAGGGGCCGUCAGGGGCCAGGGGCCUCCAGGGGCCGUCAGGGGCCUCCAGGGGCCGCCAGAGGCUGUCAGGGGCCAGGGGCCUCCAGGGGCCGUCAGGGGCCUCCAGGGGCCGGAGCUGGGGGCCGCCAGAGGCUGGGGGCCGCCAGGGGCCCUAA